UAUACAUGUAACACACAAUAAGCUGACAACAGCCUACACAGGGUAAUCAUAUGUUUGACUGUAAGAUACAAUGAACUAGCACAUGAUAGACAAGAGGACAUGAUAGGCAAUGUGCUUAAGUACAUGCUUUAUAUGAAUAAUGUAUAAUAGAAGAAGAAUAAACAACAACAACAACAAGGAGCUGGUCCACUUUAUUCAGCACUCAAUCAAGACAAUGAUACUCCUCCUCCUGUCCCUCCUGCCUAUAAUCCUGAGGGAGUACAGGAAUACUCUGUAUUGAAGAGAGAGGGAGAGAAUAAGGGUCAACAGGGUCUGUCUACUGGUGCUACUGGACUAUAUUCAACCAUUAAUAAAAACACCAACAACCAGGUGUUAGUUGAUGAAUCAGCUCAUAAGCCAGUGUAUGCUGAUCUGGCUAUUGCUGCUAAAGGGAAGAGACCACAGGCAGUACCA